rnacentral:rRNA from 1 species
AGACACGGCCAGACUCCUACGGGAGGCAGCAGUGGGGAAUAUUGUGCAAUGGGCGGAAGCCUGACGCAGCGACGCCGCGUGGGGGAUGACGGCCUUCGGGUUGUAAACCUCUUUCAGCAGGGACGAAGCUAACGUGACGGUACCUACAGAAGAAGCGCCGGCUAACUACGUGCCAGCAGCCGCGGUAAUACGUAGGGCGCAAGCGUUGUCCGGAAUUAUUGGGCGUAAAGAGCCCGUAGGCGGUUUGUCGCGUCUGUCGUGAGAGCCCACGGCUUACCGUGGGUCUGCGGUGGAUACGGGCAGACUAGAGGCAGGUAGGGGAGAAUGGAAUUCCCGGUGUAGCGGUGAAAUGCGCAGAUAUCGGGAGGAACACCGGUGGCGAAGGCGGUUCUCUGGGCCUGUACUGACGCUGAGGAGCGAAAGCGUGGGGAGCGGACAGGAUUAGAUACCCUGGUAGUCCACGCCGUAAACGUUGGGCGCUAGGUGUGGGGUUCUUCCACGGAUUCCGCGCCGUAGCUAACGCAUUAAGCGCCCCGCCUGGGGAGUACGGCCGCAAGGCUAAGACUCAAAGGAAUUGACGGGGGCCCGCACAAGCGGCGGAGCAUGUUGCUUAAUUCGACGCAACGCGAAGAACCUUACCAAGGCUUGACAUCGCCGGAAAACUCGCAGAGA